rnacentral:rRNA from 1 species
UGGGGAAUAUUGCACAAUGGAGGGAACUCUGAUGCAGCGACGCCGCGUGAGUGAUGAAGGAAUUCGUUUCGUAAAACUCUGUUCUAUGGGAAGAAAAGGACUGUACCAUAGGAGAAAGCUCCGGCUAAAUACGUGCCAGCAGCCGCGGUAAUACGUAUGGAGCGAGCGUUGUCCGGAAUUAUUGGGCGUAAAGGGUGUGCAGGCGGCUUUACAAGUUGGAUGUGAAAUAUUGUGGCUCAACCACAAACGUGCAUCCAAAACUGCAAAGCUUGAGUUAAGGAGAGGUAAGUGGAAUUCCUGGUGUAGCGGUGGAAUGCGUAGAUAUCAGGAGGAAUACCGGUGGCGAAGGCGACUUACUGGACUUAAACUGACGCUCAGGCACGAAAGCGUGGGGAGCAAACAGG